GUGAGUGGCCAUAUCACCCUGCAGCCCAAGACUGGUUGCCCACUUAAGCUAAGCAGGGUUGAGCCUGGUCAGUAGGCCUAGUACCUGGAUGGGAGACCUCCUGGGAAAACUAGGUUGCUGUUGGAA
rnacentral:rRNA from 1 species